rnacentral:sRNA from 1 species
CUUUUUUGCUAUCUGCGAUACCAAAGAUUCGAACCUGCAGCAGGUUCGAAUCCAGCACAGCGAAACAACGGAGCCGCUCGCGGCGACGGCCCGAAGGGCGAGCGAAGCGAGUCAUCCUGCACGACCCACCA